AUUGAACGCUGGCGGCAGGCCUAACACAUGCAAGUCGAACGAGUGGCGGACGGGUGAGUAAUGUCUGGGAAACUGCCUGAUGGAGGGGGCUAACUACUGGAAACGGUAGUUAAUACCGCAUACCAUCAGAUGUGCCCAGAUGGGAUUAGCGAGUAGGUGGGGGAAUGGCUCACCUAGGCGCCGAUCCCUAGCUGGUCUGAGAGGAUGACCAGCCACACUGUAACUGAGACACGUUCCAGACUCCUACGGGAGGCAGCAGUGGGGAAUAUUGCACAAUGGGCGCAAGCCUGAUGCAGCCAUGCCGCGUGUGUGAAGAAGGCCUUCGGGUUGUAAAGCACGUUCAGCGAGGAGGCGUUACUCGCAGAAGAAGCACCGGCUAACUCCGUGCCAGCAGCCGCGGUAAUAC
rnacentral:rRNA from 1 species